rnacentral:rRNA from 1 species
GAUGAACGCUGGCGGCGUGCCUAAUACAUGCAAGUCGAGCGAACAGACGAGGAGCUUGCUCCUCUGACGUUAGCGGCGGACGGGUGAGUAACACGUGUAUAACCUACCUAUAAGACUGGGAUAACUUCGGGAAACCGGAGCUAAUACCGGAUAAUAUAUUGAACCGCAUGGUUCAAUAGUGAAAGACGGUUUUGCUGUCACUUAUAGAUGGAUCCGCGCCGCAUUAGCUAGUUGGUAAGGUAACGGCUUACCAAGGCGACGAUGCGUAGCCGACCUGAGAGGGUGAUCGGCCACACUGGAACUGAGACACGGUCCAGACUACUACGGGAGGCAGCAGUAGGGAAUCUUCCGCAAUGGGCGAAAGCCUGACGGAGCAACGCCGCGUGAGUGAUGAAGGUCUUCGGAUCGUAAAACUCUGUUAUUAGGGAAGAACAAAUGUGUAAGUAACUAUGCACGUCUUGACGGUACCUAAUCAGAAAGCCACGGCUAACUACGUG